rnacentral:lncRNA from 1 species
GAAUAAUUGAAGUUAUGGAUAAAUCAUUAAAUAUAUCAGAAAAGAAGGAAGAAUUUAAACAAGCUUAUAAAUUUUACAAACAAUUAUUGAAUUUGAUUAAAGCAAGUUCAAUAUCUGAACAAGAGGCAUACAUUAGAGAGGAUGAUUUUAUAAAAAAUAUGAAAUAUUUUUCACUAGAGAAAUAUGUAAAACAAUCAAAAUUAAAUGGUUAUAAAUUUAUAUUUAAAUAAAUGGUAAAACAAGUUGAAGGUGGAAAUUUAGUAGGAUGGAUGCAAGACAAAUUUAAUCCUCCUGAAAUACAUCUAUCUGGUUAUCAAUAUUGUAGACCUUAUAUUAAAUUACAGAACAGACUAACAAGAGGUAGUUUUGGAAUAAACAGAGUAGAUAAGGCAUAUAAACAACAUGAUAUUGCUUACAGGUUAACCAAAGACACUUAACAGACACAUUUAGCUGAUCAACAGUUACUAAAUGAUUUGAAUGAUAUUCAGGAUCCCACUAUGGUGAAAAAAUUACAAGAGGAAUAAUAAAACCAAUCAUUAAAACUAAAAAGAGAUUUGGUUUAGGUUUAGCUAUGAUAUAUUGCUUGAAAUGUAAACAACAUACAGAAACUGAAAACAUGGAGGAAACUACUACAAAAAUGGAAGACCUGUGAUGAAAGGUAUAUGUUCUGUAUGUAAAAAUAAAAAGUCUCAAUAUUUGAAAAAACCGAAAAAGGAGGCAAUAAAAGAUAUCUAUUAUGAUCCAGAAAUUGGAUAUUGUGGUAUUAAUGAAUUACAUAGGAAAAUAGG